rnacentral:misc_RNA from 1 species
AAGUCGUAACAAGGUUUCCGUAGGUGAACCUGCGGAAGGCGUGAGGGUCAACGACCUGAGUAAGUAUCAGUUAUCCUUUCGGAGACCAAGUCUAUUUGCUCUACCGCUCCAUCCACACGUCUUGAAGAAGUCUCUGAAUCAAACUGUCGUUGUGAUUUACCAGAGAUUGCUUGUUGAGGUGAGGAGAGCAGGGUUAAAAUGCACGGGGUUUUUAACGUUGGAUACGUGUUAAUGAUGUCAACGGACAGGUCUCUGGGGCUUCGGCUCCCCAUAUUAAACCCGUAUGUGAAAGUCGGGCUUGCAAACUACAGGCCCACAAAACGAACAACUGUUAACAAUGGAUAUCUUGGUUCUC